rnacentral:lncRNA from 1 species
CUGGAAAGGGUAUUCUUGCUGCUGAUGAGUCGACAGGUACGAUUGGUAAGCGUUUGGCCAGCAUCAAUGUAGAGAACGUUGAGUCCAACAGGCGUGCUCUUAGGGAGCUUCUUUUCACUGCUCCUGGUGCUCUUCAAUACCUCAGUGGAGUCAUCCUCUUUGAGGAAACCCUCUACCAGAGCACAGCUUCAGGUACUCGAUUUUCAAGGAUCUUAAUUUGUUUAGUUUGUGAUGAAAAUUGCAUCAUUGAGUUUCAAGAUAAACUGUGUUACGUCAAUCAAUGUUCUAAAUUGUGGUCAAUUUUGUGGUGUCAUUGACUUUGCAGAAAAUUGUGGUCAAGUGUGGUCGACGCAGCCACAAUUAUUCCACCGUUUUUGUUGGGAACUUGUUUUAUAAGUGCAAAGUUAGAAACAAUUCAAUAUGUGCUUUUUGUUAUUCAUGUGAUUAUGUAAAUCUUUAUUGUCUUAUUGAGAAAUUCUAUUUUUUGUUGGAGACUGAACUUUAAACACCUAAGGAAUUGCAUUAAGUUUUGUUCUAUUUCGAAACCUUUAAUUCAUGAUUUUUUUUUUCAUUUUCCCUUUUUGGUUAGCCAAUAUGCUUUUUUAACUGGUGGAAUCGUCUUCAUUUGAAUGAAGAUGGAUCAUAGUGUCAUAUAUGUUACACUACUAACCUUGUUGUAAAUGGAUUUUAUAUAGGCAAGCCCUUUGUUCAGUUGUUGACGGAGGCUGGUGUGCUUCCUGGUAUCAAGGUUGACAAGGGCACCGUUGAGCUUGCCGGGACCGAUGGGGAAACCACCACUCAGGGUCUGGAUGGCCUUGGUCAGCGUUGUGCCAAAUACUAUGAAGCAGGUGCACGAUUUGCCAAAUGGCGUGCCGUGCUAAAGAUUGGUCCCAACGAGCCAUCAGAGCUCUCCAUCCACGAGAAUGCCUAUGGCUUGGCCAGAUAUGCUGUCAUAUGCCAGGAAAAUGGGUUGGUUCCCAUUGUUGAACCCGAGAUCCUUGUUGAUGGGCCUCAUGACAUUCACAAGUGUGCCGCUGUCACCGAGCGUGUCCUUGCAGCAUGCUACAAGGCUUUGAAUGAUCACCAUGUUCUUCUUGAGGGAACUCUAUUGAAGCCAAACAUGGUGACACCUGGAUCUAAAUCUGCAAAGGUUGCUCCUGAAGUGGUUGCUGAACACACUGUUAGAGCCCUGCAGCGAACUGUACCUGCUGCAGUUCCUGCUGUAGUUUUCUUGUCUGGUGGACAGAGCGAGGAGGAGGCAACCCUCAACCUGAAUGCCAUCAACCAGAUUAAGGGGAAGAAGCCAUGGACACUCUCUUUCUCUUUUGGAAGGGCACUUCAACAGAGUACCCUUAAGGCAUGGGGUGGAAAAGAAGAGAAUGUGAAGAAGGCUCAAGAAGCCUUAUUGAUAAGAGCCAAGGCUAACUCAGAGGCAACUCUUGGAACCUACAAGGGUGAUUCAAAGCUUGCUGAGGGCGCCGCAGAGAGCCUCCAUGUUGAUAACUACAAGUACUGAGAAAAGUUCGAGACUAGUGCGGGUAGGAAUCGGGUGACAACCGAAUUUCUUGCUAAUGAGUAUUGUGGUUUGACUCCUCCCUGAAUAAUCGUUUGAAAUUUUGCUUUUUUGUUUUAGUGUUCUGCAAUAUCAUUUUAGUUUCAGUGUAUUGGUGGAGGGGAUUUUAUUUUGUUUUCUUGGAAGGACACCACCUUUCUAAACGAAGCUUUGUGUUUAUUUACAAUUCUCCCGCUGUUUUGUUUUCGUUCUGCAUAAUCAUGAGAUCGAUAAAUGGAAGGGUAUGUGAUAUUCACCUUCCUACCUUUUUAAUUCAUCAAUAUUUUGUGAAUAUAUUCACAUAAUGAUUACAUAUGUUGACUUUGUUAUUUGAAAAUUCUUUAAUCUCCUUGUUUUUUGUCAAAAAUGUUCUGUGUGACGCCAAGAUUCAAUAAAUAUCUAUAUUAUGGGUUGCUUUUAUUUCUUUGAAUGAUCAACACAUGUCACGUAAAGAUAAAAUCAUCUUCGAAAUAUAUGUGGCUUUUCCUCCUUAAUUUAUAGACAUUUUAAAUUAUCUUCUUUCUAAUGCAACAGUCAAUUGAUGAAAUACUCUAGAAUCACCCUAUUAUUGUCCUUUUAUUCAGAUUAAUUAUUGUAUUAAUUUAUUAAUACAAUUAUAAAAUGAAAAGAUUGAACAUGUUUUAAAAUAUUAUCACUCAUAAAAUUAGUGCUGAAUAAAAAAUCUCAUAAAAUUAGUUUGUAUGAAUGAGCAUUGAAAGAGUUGAUUUCAAAAAGUUUAUUUUUACCAAAUUGAUUCGAGGAAACAUGAUUUAUAUUUAAAUGUUUCUAUUAAAAUAGUGAACACAAAUUAAUGGCAAUAUAUACAAACUUUAAGCUUGAAACUUAGAAUUUAUUUCUGUAACAAUUUAUUUGAAAUUACAUUAAAUAAUAUUUCAAAAUCACUUCAAAUAAUCUAAUUGAAAAUCAAACUUAUAAUGUAAAUACACCUCAAAAAAGGGACACAUGACAGCA